rnacentral:lncRNA from 1 species
AUGAAUAAUGAUGAAAAAAAUACCUGCACAGCUAACAGUAAGAUCAAGAACAUUGCAAGUACCUUAUUCUCCAUUCUUUUCAAAUUAAAGCCCCCAUUAGAGACAGCCAUUGGCUGGGUUUUUGUGACAAUCACCUCAUUGCUUUUUGCUGUAGGUGGGCUGGCUACAAAUCACUUGGAAAUUCUUAAAUCACAAUUUUCUCAUGUAAAGCCCAAGACUGCAGAAUGCAGAGGAGAGCCCUUUUCAUGUGGAUCCUUCUCCUUGAAAGCAAACCAGAGAACUGUGAGGAUUUUGGAGCUGGAGUUGGGGGUCUGAGAAGAUGAAUGCUGUACCAGGUGAGAUGAAGUAAAGCAGAGCUUCUUAAAGGAAGUCUCUAGAAACUGGGUACACAUUUUGUAGGAAUAGGAUCUAAGAUACAGAAAAGGUGGGGAAUCCUUGGAUUUACAAGGGUGCAGGAACCAAGGGCACGUUUAGGUGCGGCUCCUAUGGAGAAGGCAGGAGCUGGAGAAGGACUUUGAUGAUGCUGAUGGAACUUCUGAGUAGCUGGAAAUUUGGAAAUGGGGUGGGAAUAGGGGACAGAAGAGGUGGAGAUUUGGAAAUCAUCUACAUAGAGGGUGCCAACAAGUACUCCACGGGGACAGACGAGAGAGUGGGGGGCACAGCGAUUCAUUGAGAGUCUUGUGUUUGUUGCAGGGAACUCCUCAGCCUGGUUCAGGCAGGUGAGGGACCCUGCUGGCUGUUAGGACUGACCGCCAAAGCAAGACCGGCCCCCAGUGCUCUGGCGAUGCCACUGGUACUUGGUUUCAUGUCUCCAUCUUUCAGCAUGGUUUCCCCUGUCCAGCUUGGUCUCAUUCUCUGGCAUUCUCUCUCCUCCAAGUGGGAAGCUGGCUGCCAGGAACACCAGGGUUACAUCCUGCCCUUAGCGAAUGGAUUUUUUUUUUUUUUUUUUUUGUACCGGGGAUUGAACUCAGGAC